rnacentral:pre_miRNA from 1 species
UCUUGUGGGUGAGCAAAAGAAAGUGGUUUCUCGAGAUGGAAUCUACUCCUGGUGAAAAUGCUAUGAA